rnacentral:rRNA from 1 species
AGGACGAACGCUGGCGGCGUGCUUAACACAUGCAAGUCGAGCGGAAAGGCCCUUCGGGGUACUCGAGCGGCGAACGGGUGAGUAACACGUGGGCAACCUGCCCCUAGCUCUGGGAUAACUCCGGGAAACCGGUGCUAAUACCGGAUAUGACCUCAUUUGGCAUCCUUUGAGGUGGAAAGAUUUAUUGGCUAGGGAUGGGCCCGCGGCCUAUCAGCUUGUUGGUGGGGUAAUGGCCUACCAAGGCGACGACGGGUAGCCGGCCUGAGAGGGCGACCGGCCACACUGGGACUGAGACACGGCCCAGACUCCUACGGGAGGCAGCAGUGGGGAAUAUUGCGCAAUGGGCGAAAGCCUGACGCAGCGACGCCGCGUGAGGGAUGACGGCCUUCGGGUUGUAAACCUCUUUCAGCAGGGACGAAGCGAAAGUGACGGUACCUGCAGAAGAGCGCGGCCACUACGCGCCAGCAGCCGC